AACGAGCGCUGGCGGCAUGCCUAACACAUGCAAGUCGAGCGCGCCCUUCGGGGUUAGCGGCGGACGGGUGAGUAACGCGUGGGAACUUGCCCUUUUCUACGGAAUAGCCUCGGGAAACUGAGAGUAAUACCGCAUACGCCCUUUGGGGGUAAGAUUUAUGGGAAAAGGAUCGGGCCGCGUUGGUUUAGGUAGUUGGUGGGGUAAUGGCCUGCCAAGCCGACGAUCCAUAGCUGGUGUGUGAGGAUGAUCAGCCACAAUGGGACUGCGACACGGCCCAGACUCCUACGGGGGGCAGCAGUGGGUAAUCUUAGACAAUGGGGGCAAACCUGAUCUAGCCAUGCGGCGGAAGUGAUGAAGGCCUUAGGGUUGUAAAGCUCUUUCAGCUGGGGAGAUAAUGACGGUAACAGCAGAAGAAGCCCCGGCUAACUCCGUG
rnacentral:rRNA from 1 species